rnacentral:rRNA from 1 species
AGACGUCUACAUUAGAUACCCGGGUAGUCCCAGCCGUAAACUAUGCGCGUUAGGUGUAUCGGUGACCACGAGUUACCGAGGUGCCGAAGGGAAACCGUGAAACGUGCCGCCUGGGAAGUACGGUCGCAAGGCUGAAACUUAAAGGAAUUGGCGGGGAGCACCACAACAGGUGGAGCCUGCGGUUUAAUUGGACUCAACGCCGGGAAGCUCACCGGAUAGGACAGCAGAAUGAUUGCUGGGCUGAAGACCCUGCAUGACUAGCUG